rfam:Triticum urartu cultivar G1812 contig461098, whole genome shotgun sequence.
AAUCUACUCCCUCCGUUCGAAAUUACUUGUAACAAAAAUGGAUGUAUCUGCAACUAAAAUACAUCUAGAUACAUUCAUUUCUUAGACGAGUAAUUCCGAACGGAGGGAUUAUUCA